GUCCACGCCGUAAACGAUGUCGACUAGCCGUUGGAGACCUUAGUGUUUUAGUGGCGAAGCUAACGCGAUAAGUCUACCGCCUGGGGAGUACGGCCGCAAGGUUAAAACUCAAAUGAAUUGACGGGGCCCGCACAAGCGGUGGAGCAUGUGGUUUAAUUCGAUGCAACGCGAAGAACCUUACCAGGUCUUGACAUCCAGAGAACUUUCCAGAGAUGGAUUGGUGCCGCAAGGAGCUCUGAGACAGGUGCUGCAUGGCUGUCGU
rnacentral:rRNA from 1 species